rnacentral:rRNA from 1 species
UGGGGAAUAUUGCACAAUGGGCGAAAGCCUGAUGCAGCAACGCCGCGUGAGUGAUGAAGGCCUUCGGGUUGUAAAGCUCUGUCUUUUGGGACGAUAAUGACGGUACCAAAGGAGGAAGCCACGGCUAACUACGUGCCAGCAGCCGCGGUAAUACGUAGGUGGCAAGCGUUGUCCGGAUUUACUGGGCAUAAAGGAUGCGUAGGCGGAUUUUUAAGUGAGAUGUGAAAUACCCGGGCUUAACUUGGGUGCUGCAUUUCAAACUGGGAAUCUAGAGUGCGGGAGAGGAGAAUGGAAUUCCUAGUGUAGCGGUGAAAUGCGUAGAGAUUAGGAAGAACACCAGUGGCGAAGGCGAUUCUCUGGACCGUAACUGACGCUGAGGCAUGAAAGCGUGGGUAGCAAACAGGAUUAGAUACCCUGGUAGUCCACGCCGUAAACGAUGAGUACUAGGUGUAGGAGGUAUCGACCCCUUCUGUGCCGCAGUUAACACAAUAAAUACUCCGCCUGGGAAGUACGAUCGCAAGAUUAAAACUCAAAUGAAUUGACGGGGUCAUAGCUG